AGCGCCUGAGCUGGAGGAGACCACGCACGCACUGCGCUCCACCCGCCCGCCUCUCCCCGACCUCGUCGCCGGCGAUGUCCUCCGCCGCUGUGGCCACCGCCACCUCCCGUCCCUUCCAGCAGCCCUCCUUCUCGUGGCUGCGGCGUGGACACGUGGCGCUUCCGGCGCCGUCGCCGGGGCGUUAUCCUCCCGCCGCGCUCACGGUGGCCGCGGCGUCGCGUCGCACCGGCGAAGGGGGCCGCCGGGGGAGGAGGCGGAGGCGAGCCAGGGGCGCUGACCAGGAGGAUGGGCUCUCCCUCGGCUCCGACAUUGAGACACCAAAUUCCACUCCCGCCUCACGUGUUGACAAGGAGAGUUCAAAACCUGUGCCAGAAACUAGAAUUACUAAGAAAGGCUCGGCUAUUAGAAGAGUUACAUUGGUGGUCCUUGCUGCUGUGUUCUUUGGUGUUAGCAUUGCCCUGAGAGAUGGGGUUGGGAAGGCAUCGGAAUAUUUUGCUGGAUAUUUAUUGGAACAGAGUUUGUCAGUAGACAAUCUGUUUGUUUUCGUUCUGGUCUUCAAGUAUUUUAAAGUGCCGCAGGAAUACCAGAACCGGGUGCUUUCUUAUGGUAUUGCUGGAGCAGUGAUCUUCCGAACGGUGAUGAUCACCCUAGGAGCAGCUACGAUUCAGAGGUUUGAAGCAGUGAACCUAUUAUUGGCUUUGAUCCUGCUAUUCACUUCGUACAAGUUAUUUGCUGAAGAAGAUGAAGAAUCUGACCUGUCUGAUAAUUUCAUAGUGAAAACAUGCCAAAAAUUCAUUCCUGUCACUGAUUACUAUGAUGGUGAUCGUUUUUUUACAACUCAAGAAGGUUUAUGGAAAGCCACACCAUUACUAUUGACUGUGGCAGUGAUUGAGCUAAGUGAUAUUGCUUUUGCUAUCGACUCAAUACCAGCAGUUUUUGGUGUCACAAGGGAUCCACUUAUAGUAUUAUCAUCAAAUAUUUUUGCUAUUUCUGGUUUGAGGUCACUCUAUGUGCUCAUUUCUGAAAGCAUGUCCGAAUUGGAUUAUCUGCAGCCUGCAAUUGGUGUGGUUUUGGGCUUCAUAGGGACAAAGAUGAUCUUUGACUUUUUUGGUUAUCACAUACCAACUGAAGCUUCCCUUGCUAUUGUUACCACAUGUCUAAGUGGUGGAGUAAUAUUGAGUCUUAGGAAAGCAUCGACUGAAGAAAAAAACAAGUAGCCAGCUUGCUGAAGAGGAGGUAAAAGGGAUAAAUUAACUUGGUGAUUCUUAACAGGUUGAAUGAAAAUACUGAUGGUGCAGGCUUCCAAAGAGCUGCCAUCUUUUUUUCUGGUGCAGGGUGCAUCAAUGCAUCGUUUACUUUGAUCAUCAGAUGUAGAGGACCUCGAAGAGUUUCCACAGCAUCACCACUGAGCUUAUACCUGCAUCUUCUAGUGCUCAUGGAUUUGAAGACAAAUCGAUCAGUGGUUUUGACGUGUGACCCUGAUUUAGAAUUAUAGAUGGAUGACUAACAAGGCAUGAAGUCGGUGUCGCCUUGGUUCAUCUUGAAGUAGAAGGUGAUGAAAUGGAAGGAAGACCGUGCCCAAAAAAAAACAAGCAAGCUACUAGGAGUACUCAAUACC